ACUCCGUAGGUGAACCUGCGGAGGGAUCAUUACAGAGUUCGCGCCCUCCCGGGUAGAUCUCCCACCCUGUGUUAUUGCCACCUUUGUUGCUUUGGCGGGCCGCCCUCGGCUACCGGCCACGGCUGGUACGCUCACGCCAGACGACACCAAACCCCUAACGUCAGUGUCGUCUGAGUACCAUACCAUAGCUAAAACGUACAACAACGGAUCCCUUGGAUCUGGUACCGAUGAAGAACGCAUCAGAUCCGAAAAGCAAAAGACCGAACCCCAGUCACUUCG
rnacentral:misc_RNA from 1 species